AUGAGUGGGCGAUAGAAGAAGAGUUACUGCCUAUAUUAAAACCAUUCAUGGAGGUAACAGAAGAAAUAUCAGCAGAAAAGAAUGUAACCCUUUCAAAGGUUAUAGUUCUUGCGAUUUUGCUACAGAACUGUUUGAAUAACAAAACGCCUAAGGAUAAAUGUGUUGCUGCACUUGUUGCAGUUCUAAAAGCUGAGAUGAAUCGACGAUUUUGCAAGCUGGAAAGUAACGAACUCUACGCAGAGAGAGUUCAAGUCAAAAGAAGAAUACGAAAAAGCUGUUUGUAAUCUUAAAAGGAAAGUAACUCCAAUUCGUCUCAACAGCGAAAAUUAUGAAUUCGAAUCACCUGCGUUUGAAACUAAUUCAGCCAAUCAGAGUUCGGUUUGGUGUGAUUUUGACAGUGAGUUCAAGAACACGACAAAGGCUGCAAACACUACCGGUUCUGCCGAGAAAGAGAUGGAAAAAUACCUCGAAGAGGAAUUUAUACCGAGGACUGCUGACCCUUUGGUUUGGUGGGAACAAAGAAAGAAAUUGUAUCCGCAUCUAUAUUCUUACAGCCUUAAGCGACUAUGCCUUAUGGCUACAUCAGUUCCUUUCGAACGCCUAUUUUCAAGUGCUGGGGAAAUCAUCCGAAAAAGACGGAUGCUACUAAAACCUAAUAAAGUGGAAAAUCUAAUGUUCCUUCAUAGCAACAUGUAGAUGGAUCACAGAAAUCAAAUAAAUGCAUUAAAAUUACUAUAUUAUCUGUUUGUAAACUCUUUAUUAUUUCUUAUUAUUAUUAUGUAUAAGUGUUUUUGACAUAAAUUGAAUAAAUAAUAUUAAUUUUCAAUGACAGCAUUGUAUGAAAUAAA